rnacentral:rRNA from 1 species
UACGUAGGGUGCAAGCGUUAAUCGGAAUUACUGGGCGUAAAGCGUGCGCAGGCGGUUUUGUAAGACCGAUGUGAAAUCCCCGGGCUUAACCUGGGAACUGCAUUGGUGACUGCAAGGCUUGAGUGUGUCAGAGGGAGGUGGAAUUCCGCGUGUAGCAGUGAAAUGCGUAGAGUAUGCGGAGGAACACCGAUGGCGAAGGCAGCCCCCUGGGAUACACUGACGCUCAUGCACGGAAAGCGUGGGGAGCAAACAGG